GACGAACGCUGGCGGCGUGCCUAAUACAUGCAAGUAGAACGCUGAAGGAGGAGCUUGCUUCUCUGGAUGAGUUGCGAACGGGUGAGUAACGCGUAGGUAACCUGCCUGGUAGCGGGGGAUAACUAUUGGAAACGAUAGCUAAUACCGCAUAAGAGUAGAUGUUGCAUGACAUUUGCUUAAAAGGUGCAAUUGCAUCACUACCAGAUGGACCUGCGUUGUAUUAGCUAGUUGGUGAGGUAACGGCUCACCAAGGCGACGAUACAUAGCCGACCUGAGAGGGUGAUCGGCCACACUGGGACUGAGACACGGCCCAGACUCCUACGGGAGGCAGCAGUAGGGAAUCUUCGGCAAUGGACGGAAGUCUGACCGAGCAACGCCGCGUGAGUGAAGAAGGUUUUCGGAUCGUAAAGCUCUGUUGUAAGGGAAGAACGAGUGUGAGAGUGGAAAGUUCACACUGAG
rnacentral:rRNA from 1 species